rnacentral:rRNA from 1 species
UACGUAGGGUGCAAGCGUUAAUCGGAAUUACUGGGCGUAAAGGGCGCGUAGGCGGCACUGUUAGUCAGGCGUGAAAGUCCUGGGCUCAACCUGGGAACUGCGCUUGAUACGGCAGAGCUAGAGGAUGGAAGAGGCUCGCGGAAUUCCCAGUGUAGAGGUGAAAUUCGUAGAUAUUGGGAAGAACACCGGUGGCGAAGGCGGCGAGCUGGUCCAUUACUGACGCUGAGGCGCGACAGCGUGGGGAGCAAACAGG